GACCACGUAGCUCAGUUGGCAGAGCAUUGGGUUAGUAUUCCAAAGGUCGUAGGUUCGAUUCCCACCGUGGCCA
rnacentral:tRNA from 1 species